rnacentral:rRNA from 1 species
AGUAACGCGUGGAUAACCUGCCGUAUACAGGGGGAUAACACUUAGAAAUAGGUGCUAAUACCGCAUAUGCGCACGGCCCCGCAUGGGGCCGCGCGGAAAGCGCAUGCGGUGCGGGAUGGGUCCGCGUCUGAUUAGCUUGUUGGCGGGGUAACGGCCCACCAAGGCGACGAUCAGUAGCCGGCCUGAGAGGGUGGACGGCCACAUUGGGACUGAGACACGGCCCAG